GGUCUUGACAUCCCUCGACAACCGAGAGAUCGGGCGUUCACCCUCGGGUGACAGGGAGACAGGUGGUGCAUGGUUGUCGUCAGCUCGUGUCGUGAGAUGUUGGGGUUAAGUCCCGCAACGAGCGCAACCCCUACGUUUAGUUGCUAACGCGUGAAGGCGAGCACUCUAGACGAACUGCCGUUGACAAAACGGAGGAAGGUGGGGAUGACGUCAAAUCAUCAUGCCCCUUAUGUUCUGGGCUACACACGUGCUACAAUGGCCGGUACAGACGGACGCAAAGCCGCGAGGUGGAGCAAAAUCCUAAAAAGCCGGUCUCAGUUCGGAUUGCAGGCUGCAAUUCGCCUGCAUGAAAUCGGAAUCGCUAGUAAUCGCAGGUCAGCAUACUGCGGUGAAUACGUUCCCGGGCCUU
rnacentral:rRNA from 1 species